rnacentral:rRNA from 1 species
GGUGCUGCAUGGCUGUCGUCAGCUCGGUGUCGUGAGAUGUUGGGUUAAGUCCCGCAACCGAGCGCAACCCCUAUCUCUAGUUGCCAGCGAUUCGGUCGGGGACUCUAGAGAUACGUGCCCCGGUUAACGGGAGGAAGGUGGGGAUGACGUCAAGUCCUCAUGGCCCUUAUGCCCAGGGCUACACACGUGCUACAAUGGGCGGUACAAAGGGUAGCGAUGCCGCGAGGUGAAGCCAAAUCCCAAAAAGCCGUCCACAGUUCGGAUUGGAGUCUGCAACUCGACUCCAUGAAGCCGGAAUCGCUAGUAAUCGCGGAUCAGCACGCCGCGGUGAAUACGUUCCCGGGCCUU